rnacentral:rRNA from 1 species
GAUGAACGCUGGCGGCGUGCUUAACACAUGCAAGUCGAACGGAAAGGCCCAAGCUUGCUUGGGUACUCGAGUGGCGAACGGGUGAGUAACACGUGGGUGAUCUGCCCUGCACUUCGGGAUAAGCCUGGGAAACUGGGUCUAAUACCGGAUAGGACCACAUUUUGGAUGGUGUGGUGGAAAGUUUUUCGGUGUGGGAUGAGCUCGCGGCCUAUCAGCUUGUUGGUGGGGUAAUGGCCUACCAAGGCGUCGACGGGUAGCCGGCCUGAGAGGGUGUACGGCCACAUUGGGACUGAGAUACGGCCCAGACUCCUACGGGAGGCAGCAGUGGGGAAUAUUGCACAAUGGGCGCAAGCCUGAUGCAGCGACGCCGCGUGGGGGAUGACGGCCUUCGGGUUGUAAACUCCUUUCGCUAGGGACGAAGCGUUAUGUGACGGUACCUGGAGAAGAAGCACCGGCUAACUAUGUG